CUUGUACUCCCUCCGUCCAGAAAUACUUGUCAUUGAAAUGGAUGUAUCUAGAUGUAUUUUAGUUCUAGACACAUCCAUUUUGAUGACAAGUAAUUCCGGACGGAGGGAGUACUUG
rfam:Triticum aestivum genome assembly, contig: Triticum_aestivum_CS42_TGACv1_scaffold_221544_3B